rnacentral:rRNA from 1 species
AUGGAAGGUCUCCUCCACUGGGAUUUCUCUCCCGGCCUUGCAAUCGCGGAUCAGGUGCGUCGACGGUUUGGCUCUACUGUCCAAUUCUCUCCCUCUGGAUCUUUCAAGGAAUUCUUUCUGGUUGUCAGUUCCUCCUCGGCCUCCUUCCCUCUCAAUGAGGAGUCGGUUGCUAUUUCUCUUCAAUGUUGCAUUGGCGGUCUUCCAUCUGGACUACACGUUCAACAUUUGAAUGGAAGACGCUUCCGUUUCUCUGUGGCAUCCAAUCGUGUUGGUCACUUCAUCUAUGGUCUUAAGGAUUGA